AUGGCUCGUGAAGUAUUUAAUGCUUUUGAAGGUUGUGUAGAGGAGAUGGCAAAUCAACGUCCAUCGCUGCAAGACAUGGAUAUAGAAGUAUUUCCUGCUAAUUCACCCAAAGCGAAAUCUUUAAUUGAAAUUUCAGGUACAACUGAGUCGGGGAAGAGUUUGCUACUGUGGCGCCUAAUGGUUCGUUGUCUUACACCAACCUAUUUUGGCGGUCGGAAUUGUGAUUUAAUUUUUAUUGAUUUACGACAUAAAUUCGAUAUUGAAAGUUUUGAACAGCAAAUUCUAAGUCUAGUUGCAGCAUCUGGUGAACAACAUACUGCAGCUGAAUCACAGUCCGUAGUUGAGAAAUGUUUUGAUUCCAUGCAUUUAUUAAAUUGCUAUAGUUCCAAACAUUUAAAAGCAGCUUUAGAAAUAGUUGAUGGGCUACUGUUAAAGCAUUCCGAUUGCUCAAUGGUAGCCAUCGAUGGUUUAGAUGCUUUCUAUUGGUUAGAUACCUAUGAGUGUCGGAUUCGCAGGCAAACACAUUAUGCGCGUAAUGUAGAACGUCUUCGCAAAUUAUGUGACCGUCACGGUGUUUGUUGUGCCUACACUGUUAAUGCGACAUAUUUGAGCGCAAAGAAGUUAAAGGAUUUGGAUGACAACAUGCUUGGUCGAAAAUCACUGCAGAAAAGUGUGAAAGUUGAACACAAGUUGCAGCUACAACUGGCUAACAACGGUGAACGAACACUUAAUGGGAUGCCAGUAGAGAUAAGACAACAUUCGUUGUUUGUUGUAAAGCAGUAAAUUAUGUAAGUUCCAUUAGCUUUUAAUAUGUUGAAAACAAUUUUAUGGCAACAUGUGAUUGCGAUAAGCUAAUCAAGGCUAAUAAUUAUUGUUAGAAAUGCAUAAUAAUGAUCACAGGUGGUAGGAAAUCCUUUAGUUAAAAAAAUUCUCACUUUUAUAGCAUACAAAGUUUUACGAAGGAUUUAGCAAUUCUAUGAAAAAAUAACAACGUUUGCUAGAAUUAUUUGAGUUUAUAAUUUUUCAAAAUUUCAAAAGCAAAGUUGAAAGACGUUAAAUAUUAAUCAGUUGAUCUGAGCUACUUGUCAUUCCAAAUAAAACAUACUGAGUUGUGUAUAAUUCUUAAUAAGUAGUUCUUUAUUUAAGUCAUCUUUUUUGGUUUAAAUAAAGCAGUCUUGGUAAAAACUCAUUCAAUAACAAGUACUCAUACAAAUACAAUAUUUAAUUAGCAAAUCUAAUUAAUUAAGCAGACUAGAGUUGGCACUGUUUAAUUCUUAUUUUAUCUCUUCUAUGAUACGUUGUCGAAAAUAUUACAUUUUUCGACAAGAAUCCACAACUGAUUCUCCGCUACUACUCUCCUAUGUCAUCCGCUUAGAAGUCUAGAAUAAAUAUUUAUGCAACUAAAUUUUAUUACUACCGUUAAUUCUCAUAUUCAACUGCGAUUAACCCGCAAGUCUAAUGGUGUUUCUAACUCCAUGGUGCGCACAGGACUCUCAGCGCCAUGUGCAUUGGAAUUCCAACUGUUGCUGGAUCCAGUGCUACUGCCUGUCGAUAAUUGACUUGUUGUGGCGUAAUAAUAAUCGAGUUGAGCUGACUUGAUAUUGCAAACAUCCUCCUCCAUAGCAUUAAGGUAGUAGUGAGGUGGUGGCGGCGGCGGCACACAGAGCUGACAAACUGGUAUUGCAGCGUCGCUGUAGUCCUUCGCAUAGUGAUCAUCAUGUACAUGGUGACUUCUAGCCACUAAAACUGCAUUCAGUGCUGAAGAUGUCAUUGUGCUGGGCAUGUGUGUUUGUAGAGCAGCCUGUGCUGCUGAUGCCGCUUGUGCAUCAAUAAUGGGGUUCUGAACGGGUGUUAUAGCAGCGGUGCCAAUUAAUUGGACAGCAUGUUUGAAAGUUUUCACGUGUUUUCGCAGUGAUGAGGGAUCUGUGUAGCGUUUUUGGCAACCGGGUACUUUACACAUAUAUGGUUUAUCCAUAGCAUGAGUGCGCGUGUGUUUGAAGCGGUCCGAAGAGUUUGAAUAGGCCUUGUUACAACCUUCAUAGGUACACAGAUAUGGUUUCUCGCCUGAAUGCGAACGAAUAUGAAUCUUGAGAUUUUCUGCUCGUGAGAAACUCUUUGUGCACAAAUGACAUUGAUGAGGUUUCUCCUUAGUGUGAGUGCGUGCAUGGACCAGCAUUUUGUAACGCGCCGAGAAUCCGCGCACUCGUGUACAUCCAUGCCAGCGGCAAUAGUAUAAACCAUCGACGGGUGAAGCUACGGCAUGCACUUUGGUCACAUGGGCGGCUAAUGAUUCGAGGGUAUUAUGAUCUCUGUAAUUGAAAUAAAGAAUAGGUAUUGUAAUUAUUAAAGAUUUCCAAAUUUAACAAAAAUGCAGCUGAUGGGGUACUGUUAUUUGAAGUAUGAGGGGAUGACGAAAUCGGACGUGAUCAUACAUAUGAAUUCUAAUGUGGCGGACAUUAAAUUGCUUUAUGGUUUUUAGACGAGCACAUCUAAUAUACAUAUAUAUGAAUGUACAUACAUACAUACAAAUAUAUUUGAGAGUGUACAUGUGUCGCUUCACAGUUUAAGGUGUUAUAUAUUUUUAUGAGGUACAAUGACGAAUCUUAUCAGUUUAGGAAGUGGUUUAAUUCCAUAAGAAGGCGCAAUAAAGCAGAAAUGAUUAAUUUAUCGUUUUUGUUUUGUUUUUGGUUUGCUUGGAUUACAACUCACCUGCCGCAAUCUAUCCAUUCACAGACGUAUUCACUGCGUUUUGGGGUCGAACUGGCGCUGCUGGUUGUAGACGUGGUCAUUGUCAUCAAUUCAUGUCGAUGCAUUUCUGUGCUUAUUGUUGUGUCUUCCAAACCAAUUAUGUCCACUGCCAUAUCGUCGAUAUGUUCUGGUGUUGGAGGCAUAUUACGAUCCAAAUGAUCUUGUCCGAUUUUCAUAAUGACCGAUUGUGUGCGUAUGUUUGGAGUUUGUGUACUGGCAGGUAAUUUGUAUACGUCCUUAUUAUAUGGUGGCGUUGUUGGAGGUGUGGGAAAUCUUAAAUGGUGCAUUUGCAAUGCCUCAUCGAUGGUCGUGUGCGAUGAUUGAUUUAGUUGUGGCGACAGUAAAUCCAAGUGUGUCCAGCCUUCAUAGGCGGCUAAAGCGGCCGAGGCGGCGCUCAAGUGCUGAUAAUAAGCGCUAGUUGGCACAAAGGCAGAGUUGAAACUACUGCUAAGAAAUUUAGAAUUUUGUACUGCCAUUGCGUAGCAGAUUUUAUAGUUUUAGUGUAUUUAGUAUUUAGAUAGUACUUUCUGUUUUUAACGUUCAACUUUUGGCUAUUUGGAAUCUUAAACUUUCAGUUUCAGUUACUUUAGUUACUUUUUUGUUUAGAACCGUUGUCUAGAGCGAAUUCACGACAACUGAGUGCGUUUGUUAGCGAACACUCUCAUAUAUGGGUAAGCACAAGCGUGUGCGAUAAGAAGCACACAUCUUAUCAGCCACCUUCUACAUACUGAACGAGUAGUUAUAGAGUAUUUACGUAGUGAAUAUCAACGCAGACAGGCGAGCGGGGGUGCGCGACAGGUUGGAUCAACGGCUAUCAGGCAGACAGUCUAAAUUGGGUGGGGUGAGUGGCUAUUUUUAACUGGAAUUGCUGUGCGAAAACCCUUUCUGGCUUCCACAGCGCAGGGAAAGUAGUCGAUUUCACGCACUAGCCAUCGCAUGCCAUACAAAACUAAUUCACCUGUACACGCACUGAAUGGUGGGGUAUGCUUAUCUGGCCGCAAACGGCUGCUCGUGUAAAACCCAAAUUUAGCUGUGCUAACGUUUGUAUGAUUACGCAUGGGCAAUCGCCGUCGCUCGUUAUCGCGCUACGUGAGGCCAAGAGUAAAUAAAUAAACAUCAUUGUCAUUGGCGGCGUUGUUGUUGUCAUCUGUUAUUCUUUGAUUGUUAGCGCCGCUUUCGCUAGGGGACCACAGACUGGUUAGAUUCUCAGUUGAAGCUGGACGGCUGGGUUUGAGCGGCUAAUUGUUAUUAGACUGAUUGGUGUCCACCCUCCACCCCAUCACGGCAUGUGUGACAAAGUGUGAUCAGCCGUUAUAUAUGUAUACAUAACAAUAAACCGUUCUACAAAUGGACCAGUCUAGCUUGUUUCCAAUAUGUACUCGAAAAUGUUAUUUUAUGAAAGAGUACACUUCAGCUGCCGCCGUGCCGUGUCCAUCAUCUUUGCCAUACUAGGCAUACCAACAAUGAGUACGCCAAGCACGACCAGACAGCAUGAUAAUCACGUCUAGACUUAGCUAGCGGCAACAACAACAACAACAAAAAGUGGAGUAGCAACAAAACUUCAGUACGCUUUAGGUGCUUGAUAAUAUAUUUUUGGCAUACAAGUAUUUAAGCAAAUAAACAAACAAGCAAACAAACAAACUACCUCAUGGUUCGCAUGUGCAAAUGUAGUUAUUUUUAAUAUAAAUCGCAAGUAAAGAAUAAAAAUAAAAAAACAAGUAGAAAAUGUGUGAUUUCAAAUGCAGUUAAACUGAUGUAUGCACACUUAAGUUUAAUUGUUUUCAGCUUAAAUAUUAUUUAAUUUGUAUUAGCUUUCAAACUUUUUAAUUUUUAAACAAUUAUUUUAAAGUCUGCACAAUUAUUUAGACUUCUAUAUAAUAUAAUAUUUGCAGAGCGUGGAACGUCUAGCGUAUUUUUGGUUGUACUGUUAGAGAUUUUGAAUUAUUUAUUAAAUUCUUAAAUUUUUAAUGAGCUGAAAUUUAUAACCGAUAUUACUUUAAGAUAUGUCAUAAGUGUUAAGAGAUAUAUUUAUAUAUGUGUGUAUGUAAUUUUGUUUAAAGCAAAAAAAAAUUUUAGUUGAAAACAUAAAACUGAGAAAAUUAUAUCUGAAGUAGUUAAUAUUCCACAAUUCGCUGUAUUUCAUUAAAAUUUUCGAAAUGAAACCACAGAGACGCCUAAAAGAUGAUUAAAGUCGACGUAGUGGUAUUCAAAUGUGCGCAAAUGCAGAGCUGUAUAUAUGUAACUGUUGCCAUUUAAAGAGAUUUUUAAACAUAAUAAUUUCAAGUCGUUAAUCGGACAUGUGAAUAGUUCGAAUAACUCUUUUCAAAGUUAUGUGUGUGAAUAUAUUCUCAUAUACGAGUAAAUUGAAGCACUUUUAAAAUGUCUGACGAAUUUGAAAGAUGUGAAAUAUUGUAAUAAAAAUGUAAAAUUGCUGUUUCAAAAUGCUCGUAAAAGGAUAAAGGUUUCACCUAACUAUUUACAAAAUUCGAUUUAUGAAAGCUUGGUAACACGGCAAUAAGUAUUUAACCAUAAAUUAAAUACUAUUUAAAGUUCAUAACAGGAAAUAUAGAAUCUAACCAGACACUAUUUACGAUUAUCACACUAGGUACAUAUAUUUAUAAUCACUUCACAUCGUGUUUAAUGAUCUGCAAUAAAUUAAAAAAAUUAAGCGAACACUUGUAAUAAAAACA